AUUGGGUUGGCCAAAAUGUCUAUUUGGAUUUUUCCUUUACGUCCUAUGGAAAAAACCCGAACGAACUUUUGGGCCAACCCAA
ensembl:miRNA